rnacentral:rRNA from 1 species
GAUGAACGCUGGCGGCGUGCCUAAUACAUGCAAGUCGAGCGAACGGACGAGAAGCUUGCUUCUCUGAUGUUAGCGGCGGACGGGUGAUUAACACGUGGAUAACCUACCGAUAAGACUGGGAUAACUUCGGGAAACCGGAUCUAGUACCGGAUAAUAUUUUGAACCGCAUGGUUCAAAAGUGAAAGACGGUCUUGCUGUCACUUAUAGAUGGAUCCUCGCUGCAUUAGCUAGUUGGUAAGGUAACGGCUUACCAAGGCAACGAUGCAUAGCCGACCUGAGAGGGUGAUCGGCCACACUGGAACUGAGACACGGUCCAGACUCCUACGGGAGGCAGCAGUAGGGAAUCUUCCGCAAUGGGCGAAAGCCUGACGGAGCAACGCCGCGUGAGUGAUGAAGGUCUUCGGAUCGUAAAACUCUGUUAUUAGGGACGAACAUAUGUGUAAGUAACUGUGCACAUCUUGACGGUACCUAAUCAGAAAGCCCCGGCUAACUACGUG